AUCUGGUCAUUUGUUGUUGUGACCAUAAGAGACAUCUGAGGGAAAGUUGUUUCUAUACCAGGUUCAAACAGGACCAUGGGCAGAGAGAGGAGAAUGAUACAUGGGAACCACAGGAGAGACUCAUGGCAGCAAGGACUAAAGCUUUAUUGCCAGGCAUACCCUGAGCUGUCAAGUUGCAGCCUGGAAUGUUUACAGCUAUGUUUUAACCUCCUGACAAUGAGACUCUGCAAUGGAAAGGCUGCCAGACCUUCAAAUAUAGUGAUGGCACUCUAAUAUUUAUAAGUACCUUAUACUCUUUCCAAACACAUGUGCUCAUUACUUAUGUCUCUGCUUCUGCCUCACUUCUGGAGAAAACUUUCUGUAUAAACAAAACAGAUUGGUCUGCUUGUACUUCUAAACUUUAAUUGCCUUCUACCUCCAUCUGCCAGAGGAAAGCCAGCCCCAGGGCUAAGUGACAAAGCCUGUCUAACUAUACAGUAUCCAGAAGCACACAGGUUGCUCCUACUCUUUUCACUGUCAGUACUGGUCAGUGUGCAUAUCUUUUAGUGUUUGCUUCUAAUUCUUUCUUUCAAUUAGGGAUGUGAGGGAACACUGGUCAGCAGGUUGGAGACAAGCCAUGAACCCAGUGACUCUGACAGAUUCUGACCAUCAGGCAGGUUUUAUGUAAA
rnacentral:lncRNA from 1 species